ACUCCUCCUAUUCCUCCAUGGCAUUGUAACCACAACCCUCGGACAGACUCCUCCUAUUCCUCCAUGGCAUUGUAACCACAACCCUCGGACAGACUCCUUCGAUUCCUUGAUGGCAUUGUAACCACAACCCUCAGACAGACUCCUAUUCCUCCAUGGCAUUGUAACCACAACCCUCGGACAGACUCCUCCUAUUCCUCCAUGGCAUUGUAACCACAACCCUCGGACAGACUCCUUCUAUUCCUCCAUGGCAUUGUAACCACAACCCUCGGACAGACUCCUUCUAUUCCUCCAUGGCAUUGUAACCAUAACCCUCGGACAGACUCCUCCUAUUCCUCCAUGGCAUUGUAACCACAACCCUCGGACAGACUCCUAUUCCUCCAUGGCAUUGUAACCACAACCCUCGGACAGACUCCUUCGAUUCCUCCAUGGCAUUGUAACCACAACCCUCGGACAGACUCCUCCUAUUCCUCCAUGGCAUUGUAACCACAACCCUUGGACAGACUCCUUCUAUUCCUCCAUGGCAUUGUAACCACAACCCUCGGACAGACUCCUUCGAUUCCUCCAUGGCAUUGUAACCACGGCCCUUGGAUAGACUCCUUCUGUUCCUCUUUUCCUCGUCCUUCCUUGCUUUUCGUCCAUUCAGCACAUAGCUAUUUAGUACUCCAUUGAAGAAAUUGUGCUAAGUGAGCAAAGCAGCAUAAUUACUAAGAAUUAAUUCUGAUUAUUUGGCACUAGAGCCAACAGCAACCCCAGUAUAGAGGAAAGUCGCUUUUUUUCAAAUGCAUAAAUUUAAAGUAUGUAUUUGCAUGCAGUUUUAAGCAGGAGGUAUUUGUCAUUGUGAAAAGCUGGGAAUCUCAAACAUAGUCAACUUAACUAAAAGGAAGCUAAUACAACUUGAGCAUUCCUAAUCCAAAAAUCCGGAAUCCAAAUUGCUCCAAAAUCUGAAACUUUCUGAAUGCUGACCUGAUACCACAAGUGGAAAAUUCCACAUAUAAGUACUUAACACAAACUUUGUUUCAUGCAUAGACUACUAAAAAUAUUGUAUAAAAUUACUUUCAGGCAGUGUGUGUAGUUAUAUAUGAAACAUGAAUUUCAUGUUUAGACUUGGGUCCCAUGCCCAAGAUACCUCAUUAGGUAUCUGUAAAUAUCCAAAAUCCAAAAAAAAGUCUGAAAUCUGAAACACUUCUGGUCCCAAGCAUUUCAGUAAGUGAUGCUUGACCUGCGUCAUGGUCUGCGGGCCAGUGCUCAUUUUCUGCCUAUGUUGUACAUACUUUAAAUUGUGCAAAGUCAAAGGAAAGCAAAGAGUCUAUUUUUAAAGAAACUUACAAUAAUCUAAACAUAUACUUCUUAUGAUUAUGAAUCAUCCUGCAAAGCUGUAUAAAGAAUUUUUACCAAAAAUACUAUGAAUCAUAUAUUUGAGAGUCACAGUGAUAGGUUCGACUAUAUUUUGACUGUUGUGUUGUGGCACCAUUUAGGUAGUAGUGUUUCUGAGCAUGGUGCUUUUUAUACUUGAAAUAUAUUUUUGCUUUAUUUUUUAUUGAUAUAAUUAUAUUUGCACUAAUGGCUUUCUGAAGAAAAUAUUAUAGAUGACAUUUUUCGUAUAUAUAUUUAUUAAGCUUGGGAACCUGGUCGCCCAGUGUUUUCUCUGGACAAAUGUGAAACUGGAUAAAGUAUGGAUAAAGUCUUGAGUUCCUCAGGGUAACUGUGUUGAUGUCUCCCGUCCUCUUCAGUAAGGCUUGAAUAUGAUUUUACUGAUCAUUGAUUCUGCAUAGUGUACCCAGCAAGACUUAGGAGGACACUGAACCUGUCAGAGAUUUUAAGAGGCACAUUUUAGUUGCUUCGAAUAUGAUAGUGGCGGGCGCGGUGACUGAAGCCUGUAAUCCCAGCACUUUGGGAGGCCAAGGCGAGCGGAUCACGAGAUCAGAAGUUUGAGGUUACAGUGAGCUGAUCGCACCACUGCACUACAGCCUGGAUGACAGAGUGAGACUUUCUUGGGCAAAAAAAAAAAUGACAGUGAAGCAGACUUUUAGAAUCUGAGAUGUCAUUGCAGAAUUAUUGGUAUAAACUUCAGCUGCAAAGUGAAGAAAUUGAAAUGGCCCACACGUUGAUAUCCUGUGGCAGGUUAUACUUUUCAUGUUAGCAAAGACAAAGCCACGUCACUGUUAAAAGGGACAGGCUGGGCCGGCUGCAGCUGUAGGAGGUGAGGGACAGGCUGGGCCGCCUGCAGCUGUAGGAGGUGAGGGACAGGCUGGGCCGGCUGCAGCUGUAGUGGAAGUGAUGCAGGGAAGGAAUGGGGAGCAGCAAUUUGGGGACAGUAGACUGGAGUCACUUUCUGACUCAAAAAGGGUCAAGUACUUAUUAAAAACUGACUACCUUGGUUUUCUGUUCAGACUUAGGCUCAUUUUGAUCAUUUUAAGGUCCCAGUUGUCAAAAAUAUCAAGUGAAUUUGUCUCAGGUUUUCAGGAACAAAAUUUACAGCAAAGAAGCAAAAGCCAUGUCAGUAGCCUUGAGCUGACAGCUUUUAAAGAAACUGGCAAGCAGGUAGGUUGUCCUCAUAUAGAUCCUUCCAGUAUUCUCCUGAAAAACAUCCUUUUUUUUCUUAAAACCAGUAACCCUUACAUUUUUCCUAUAGGAUACUUAUUUUUGUUGAGAUCAAAUAGACAUUCUAUAAAUGUUAUAAAUUAUGCUUGCAGUUAGUUUUCAGCCUAUCUAGGCUUAAGGUUUAUCAAUAUUUGAAGUUGAAACAUCAUUUUAUGAGGUUUAGUUUUAGGAAGAUAAAUAAAUAUAUCAAAGUAUUUCAUAAAGUUGUAUCAAUGUUCCUUCUAACAUUAGAAGAUAUACUGACUGAGGCCAUCUGUGAAUGACUAGGCGAUCUCUCAGAAUCCUUCCAGCUCUAAUACCCUCUGACUAACACUCACCCAGAAUUGCUGUCUGUGCUGGCUGUGAUCUGCCUCCAGAAGCAUACGCCAUCCUGUGUGCUGUGUUCAUCGCAGUGUCUGUGCUUGGUGCCUUACCACUGUCUGUGUCCUUGGACGCUGAAUGGACAGAGAGGAGCCUGUCAGGGCACAUGAGUCAUCGUGGCAGGAGGAGACGGGCCUCAGUCACAGCGUCACAGACCCUUGUCACAGUGGACACUAGUCAUUCCUGCCGUGUCCUUGCAGCCCAGGAGGACUAACAAGAUUUUAACGAAGUCUGUGUUACUCAUUCUGAAGAGAAGGACUUACCUGAGAGGAGCAAUAUUUUUUUAAUAUAUAUUGGGUCGGGGAUGGGGAGGGAGUGGUUGUUUUAUGUUUACAUUUUUAAUAAGUAAAAUAGAAGAUUUAAGAACUAAUAUUUAUGAUAUUGAACUUUAAGUGUAAUAUAUUCCUUAGAAAAACACAACUUUAAUAAAAAUGGAAACUAA